AGCGAACGCUGGCGGCAGGCCUAACACAUGCAAGUCGAACGAACUCUUCGGAGUUAGUGGCGGACGGGUGAGUAACACGUGGGAACGUGCCUUUUGGUUCGGAAUAACUCAGGGAAACUUGUGCUAAUACCGAAUGUGCCCUUCGGGGGAAAGAUUUAUCGCCAUUAGAGCGGCCCGCGUCUGAUUAGCUAGUUGGUGAGGUAACGGCUCACCAAGGCGACGAUCAGUAGCUGGUCUGAGAGGAUGACCAGCCACACUGGGACUGAGACACGGCCCAGACUCCUACGGGAGGCAGCAGUGGGGAAUCUAGCGCAAUGGGCGAAAGCCUGACGCAGCCAUGCCGCGUGAAUGAUGAAGGUCUUAGGAUUGUAAAAUUCUUUCACCGGGGACGAGAAUGACGGUACCCGGAGAAGAAGCCCCGGCUAACUUCGUG
rnacentral:rRNA from 1 species